AUUUCCCCGGAGGUUAAGCGUAAACUAAAAUGCAGUCAACGGUAACGGAGCAGCUUGCUGCUUCGCUGACGAGUGGCGGACGGGUGAGUAAUGUCUGGGAAACUGCCUGAUGGAGGGGGAUAACUACUGGAAACGGUAGCUAAUACCGCAUAACGUCGCAAGACCAAGGAGGGGGACCUUCGGGCCUCUUGCCAUCGGAUGUGCCCAGAUGGGAUUAGCUAGUAGGUGGGGUAACGGCUCACCUAGGCGACGAUCCCUAGCUGGUCUGAGAGGAUGACCAGCCACACUGGAACUGAGACACGGUCCACACUCCUACGGGAGGCAGCAGUGGGGAAUAUUGCACAAUGGGCGCAAGCCUGAUGCACCCAUGCCGCGUGUAUGAAGAAGGCCUUCGGGUUGUAAAGUACUUUCAGCGGGGAGGAAGGCGACAGGGUUAAUAACCCUGUCUAUUGACGUUACCCGCAAAAGAAGCACCGGCUAACUCCGUGCCAGCACCCGCGGUAAUACGGAGGGUGCAAGCUUUAAUCUGAAUUACUGGGUGUAAAGCGCACGCAGG
rnacentral:rRNA from 1 species